rnacentral:rRNA from 1 species
GACGAACGCUGGCGGCGUGCUUAACACAUGCAAGUCGAACGGUAAGGCCCUUCGGGGUACACGAGUGGCGAACGGGUGAGUGACACGUGGGUGAUCUGCCCUGCACUUCGGGAUAAGCCUGGGAAACUGGGUCUAAUACCGGAUAGGACCCUGGGAUGCAUGUCCUGGGGUGGAAAGCUUUUGCGGUGUGGGAUGGGCCCGCGGCCUAUCAGCUUGUUGGUGGGGUGAUGGCCUACCAAGGCGACGACGGGUAGCCGGCCUGAGAGGGUGACCGGCCACACUGGGACUGGGAUACGGGCCAGACUCCUACGGGAGGCAGCAGUGGGGAAUAUUGCACAAUGGGCGCAAGCCUGAUGCAGCGACGCCGCGUGAGGGAUGACGGCCUUCGGGUUGUAAACCUCUUUCAGCACCGACGAAGCGCAAGUGACGGUAGGUGCAGAAGAAGGACCGGCCAACUACGUGCCAGCAGCCGCAGUAA